rnacentral:rRNA from 1 species
AGUGAACGCUGGCGGUAGGCCUAACACAUGCAAGUCGAACGGCAGCACAGUAAGAGCUUGCCCUUACGGGUGGCGAGUGGCGGACGGGUGAGGAAUACAUCGGAAUCUACUUUUUCGUGGGGGAUAACGUAGGGAAACUUACGCUAAUACCGCAUACGACCUACGGGUGAAAGCAGGGGAUCUUCGGACCUUGCGCGAUUGAAUGAGCCGAUGUCGGAUUAGCUAGUUGGCGGGGUAAAGGCCCACCAAGGCGACGAUCCGUAGCUGGUCUGAGAGGAUGAUCAGCCACACUGGAACUGAGACACUGUCCAGACUCCUACGGGAGGCAGCAGUGGGGAAUAUUGGACAAUGGGCGCAAGCCUGAUCCAGCCAUACCGCGUGGGUGAAGAAGGCCUUCGGGUUGUAAAGCCCUUUUGUUGGGAAAGAAAAGCAGCAGGUUAAUACCCCGCUGUUCUGACGGUACCCAAAGAAUAAGCACCGGCUAACUUCGUG